rnacentral:rRNA from 1 species
UACGUAGGGGGCAAGCGUUGUCCGGAUUUAUUGGGCGUUAAAGAGCGUGUAGGCGGCUAGGUAGGUCCGUUGUGAAAACUCGAGGCUCAACCUCGAGACGUCGAUGGAAACCAUCUAGCUAGAGUCCGGAAGAGGAGAGUGAAAUUCCUGGUGUAGCGGUGAAAUGCGUAGAUAUCUGGAGGAACACCGGUGGCGAAGGCGGCAUCCUGGACCAACACUGACGCUGAGGAGCGAAAGCCAGGGGAGCAAACGGG